UUUUUUUUCUUUUUUUUUAAGCAAGGAAAUCUUAUUCAGGUAAAAAUACUGACAGUUUCUAUUUAACUCAACACUCUCAGCCCAGUAUAGUGCGGUUAAGUCAGUUUAGCCUCUUUGUCCCAUCCCCUUCAAAAUAAUCUUUUUAAUCCAAUGAGAACAGGAAGCUCCAGGCAGUAUGUAAUGAUCAGUUUGGAAAUUCAGGCCACACAGACUGAAAAUACCAGCAGGUAACCAGCUUUUUAUCUAGGUUUCCUGAGGAGGGUGUACCAGAAAACUAAGGAAUAUACUGCACAUGCUUGACUACAUCUGUAUUACAGUUAAUUGGUACUUUACCCAACAUGCCUUCCAAAAUCAGGUGAAUUUAAAGGAUGUAUAUAUAAAAUGUGUAGAAAAUCCAGAUUUUAAGAAAAAUACACAUGUUAACAGAAAUUACUUCUGAUUUGUUUAUGUAAAUGCUUAUCCUUUUGGAGAAUUCAGUAAAUUCAGAUAAAGUAAGUAUUUUAGGUGGUUUUAAAAUUGCAUUUAAACAUGCAUUUAACCUAGCAUUUAUGGAGCAAUUAAGAUCAACUACAGAACAAUUCCUUUAACACAAGGCAAAGAAGUUGCCAGGGGUUGCAGUCAGAGACUCCAAGUGCUGGAGAGCGCUUUCUUCCUCCUGGGACAUGAGACCCAGGCAGGGGACCGGCGGAUGCUGGCCAGGAGUGGGAGAGGCUCCGACCCAAAUAACCCUCCACUCACUCACAACAGGAGGAAGUUAAAAAGCCUUUUUCACCACCCUUCCUCUGUGAUGGGGUGGGGGUUGGGGGGGAGACAAAGACCCCCUCUGAGUUCUUGUGAAGAAGGGAAGGACACAGGCCAGGUCCUGAGUGUUGACAAAUCCUGAUUCACGGCUCCAGCCCCACUUAGCUCACAUAUAAAUCCAACAAUUCAGCCACUCAAGGAGCUGGGGCGGGGUGGGGGGGUGGCCUCUGAAUGUACUUUAGGUCUGUUUUGAAACAGACCACUAUUGACAGGGGCUCUGACUCAGCAUCAUCUCUUCUGACUACCCUUCCCAGCCAGCUGUCAAUGCCUUUAUGCAUCCAAUACUGAAUCACACAUCAUUGUAUCCAAGUUAAGAAUAAGCCACAAAACACUCACCAGUGGGAAUCAUAUCGUAACAGGACUCUCAUCCUCUGUAUAAGAAAAUGAUAAAACUGUGAUCAGUCCCCAUUUCAACAGAGACAGUCCCAGUUUACACCUAUUGUUCCAGAAUAAUCAUCAGUAACCCCCUCUUUCACUCUCAAAAGCAUCUCUGUUUAGACCACAAAUUGUAUGGUCAGCCUAUCAAUCAAGAAUGUCAAACUAAGGAAGCAUCAGCAUUUGACAGCAACACCAAGCAGGGACAGGGCUUUUUCACCCUAACAGAGAGCAUAGGGUGAUAACCUCGGGCUUCUCAAGGUGAAUCUUAGCAAUAAGAGCAUCAGUCAACUUGAACAUGGGUAUUUUCUCUUCUCUUUUAAGCGGCAGCAUUCCUGUGGCGACAACCAUCACCUACAGUGACCUCUCUUUCGAUCUCUGGCACCAAGAAAAAAGCCUGUGUUAUGUAGUCCUAGCACCACACACACAACUUGGCUGCUCCUGCUUGGCAAAUACAUAGCACUAAGGGCCGAGCAAAAUUUCUGCCCUAAAAGAGGUAGUUUUAGGGAAGAAUGGUUCAAAGAAGUGGGGAGGUGAAGAAUUACUUCACAAACUAGGAAAAUUAUUGGGUAGGAGUAUUGGUAAAAAAAUAAAAACAAACAUGCACAGUAAACAAUGUCACCUAUGAUAGUAAAUGGUAAGUAAAUAUAAAAUAGAUAAAUAAAACAGGAAAAGCAAAUAACAUUGAUAAAAUCCUCGCAAGCCUUGGUACAGCCAGGGCUGAUUUUGGUGUUCUGUUUAAUCUGCAAUAAUGAGCCUGUGGAAAGUCCAGGGAAAGUCUUAUAUUUACAUCCAGAGGCAAAGCAGCCCUCCUCGCCCCACCUCCCACCACCUUCACAGAGUCAAAUACUCAGCCAAGAACUCCUAAAUGCCUGACAGCAGCAACAGGAGCAGUGACAGGAGCAAGUCUUCCUCUCCAAGGGGCCCUGGCUCCCAGCACUAUUAAUCCUUUCUUUCUGUCUCCUUCUUGCCUUCUCCCUCUGUCAGCUAUCUUUUCUGUCUUUAUGUUUUAAUUACCUACUUGCUAGUCAACCAGAGGCCAAGGCUUUAAAAUGUCAGACUCCUGGGCCGUCCAGAUCUCCAGGUCCGGGGAUAGGAGCUCCAACAGGAAGGAGGGCGAAAGGCUAGCACCCCACAUUUCAGGGCAGCCAGACACCAGAACUGAACAUAACACUCACACAAGUGCCAGAAAUACAUGGCAUAAAAAGACCUGUGUUUGAAAUUUUCCAUGAUAAGAAUAUUUUUAUACAGUUCUUAUACAAAAAUAAAUAAAAAGGGACUUUUUAUUUAUUCUUAUAGCAAAAGUUAUACAAAAAUAAAUAAAAAGGGACUUUUGAACUUUGAAACCUUUAAACCUGUGAAAUAUAAGCCACUGAAAACAAAAUGUAAAGGUGGCAAUUUAUUUAUGAAAGUUUUAAAUACAUGAAUAUUAACUUGCUGUCAACACGCAAAUGGAUUCCAGAAUAAAUCACCUGCCCCCGAGACAGCUAUAUGUUCACUACUGUCCAAUUGCAAGCGCCUUCCUCGCUCAAAUCUCAGGGCAAAAUCCAGGGCACAAAUCUACUGUAAGGAAAGCCUUUCACACAAAGUAUCAGAAGUGGGCUGUUUAUGCUAAUGCAAAAAUACUCUUGUGAAAACUAAAUUUAACGUUCAAGUGUUUCAGAAGACCACUGCAUUUAUGAAAUGAAUAUAUUCUGUAUCAAUCCUGUAAAUAUGUGUAUAAAAUGUUCAAUGGCCAUAAAGAUGGGACUUAAAAACCAAAUUCUCAAGUGACUACGAUUUGAAGAAUUAAAUGUUGUGGUUAUCUCCAUUUAUUUGGCAUUAAGUAAAAAUUUAUCUGUGAAAGGUUCAAUAUAUGUAAAUUUUAAAAUCAUCUUUGAAAGCAUGGACAGGAAUUUUUUAAGGCCUGUUUUAUAAAGAACUGGCAUAUGAGUUCCCAUGAUGGCACAGCACAACGAAUCCGACUAGGAACCAUGAGGUUGUGGGUUUGAUCCCUGGCCUCACUCAGUGGGUUAAGGAUCUGGCGUUGCCGUGAGCUGUGGUGUAGGUUGCAGCUGCGGCUCGGAUCUUGUGUUGCUGUGGUUCUGGCGUAGGCCAGCAGCUCUAUUUCAGAGCUUCAGAGAGGCCAGCUCCCACUCCCUGCAGCUCCUCCUGUCUACCUCCCCCCCCCCUGGCUGAAGGGCCCACGCCCAGGAUAAACGGAUGAACUCGUUUUGUCGCUCCAGCAGCCAAAGGAGCAUUCAUUAAGUCAGGCCCUGAAAGUAUAUGCCAAACUGUGCAUGCAACUCCUAGGGUGUAAACCACUAAAAACCACAGCCACUGACGACUAGACCAAUAUGAGCUAAUUUUCCCAUAAACCAGCAGCAUUAUAAAGUGGAUCUUUCCCCAAAGUACAUGAAGAAUCUAUACCUUAGUGAUGCUGACAUGUCAGCAGACUCCUUUUUUCCUUUCCCGCAGCAGCCUUACCUAAGCUUACUUGUAGCCCUUGGUGCUCAGUGCCGGGUUUUUUGGUACUGUACUGUAUUUUCAGAGGACAAGCUAGAUUUCUGCUGACCAUUACAGGAGGGCAAGAAUCACAGAGACACGCACUUCUCAUAUAUAUGUGGAAAACAAAACCAAAACAACACAAAUCCUCUGUGCUUUGAUGCCAGUAUUUUUGCUUUUAAUUAGCAAUUUCUUGUUUGCUUCCUAAUCUUAUCAUCAGGGAAGAAUUUUCAAACUGAGAGACAGUUUGAAUAGCAACAAACUAGUCCUUAACCCUAGUCACACUUCAGACACACUUGCAGUCUACUAAACCAGCAUUCGCCAGCAACCUCUCUGUGGCUCGACCAUUUCCAUCUGCUCUCUGCAGGCUGAUGAGAGAGAGAGAAGAACAGCUAUUGGUUAACCCCGGCCUUUGUCCUCAUUAUCCCAAAUAAUGUAGAUUGCCUAAUUCUGACCUCAGGCUCUUCAGUUUAUGGUCUACAAUCAAAUGCUACAAAGUUUAGCGGGCCAGCAUUACCUUAAAUGGUGCAAUCUGAGAGUCUUUNNNNNNNNNNNNNNNNNNAUUCCUGCAGUUUUAGCCAAAAGCAUGAUUACUUACAGUGACCAAUGAGAGACUUAGCAACAGCCUUUUCAUAUAAUGGCACUAAUAUUUCUGGCACGCUAGUAUGAAAUAUUUUGGGUUUUUUUACAACGGUAUGAAUAAUUUGCUGUGUGUACAGUUUUUGCUGAACAUAAUUCAGUUUUUCACUGUGGUUGUACAAGUUGAGGUACAAACCAGAUGUCCGAUUUACUUAAGAAAAUUUUCUUGGAUAAAUGAGACUUGGCUGGAUCUUCUGGAUAUUCUUUAUAUCUUUUACACUCUAGGACUGUAAUGAUUUCCAAUUCUUCUCUCAAAUAUAUUCAUGAUAUGUGAUUUUAAGAUAAGUCUAGAUGUUAUUUCAUAAUUGCAAUGUUUAAGUAGGGUCACGUUCUAAUUAAUUUCUCACUGUUAUAAACUGCUAAUAUUCUAUCUUCAUUUCACCAAAUGUGGAAAUUAUAUAUCAAGUUAAAAAAAGGUAUUUAAAGUUUGAUAUUUUUAAUACAAAUAGUUGAAAAGUUUUUAAAAUACAUUUCUAUGUAUAUAAUAUUCUCUCAAGAACUUUAAAUCAACUCCAAGAAGUUUUACUUUUACUGAUGGCCUAGGACACAGCAGCUAUUCAAUAAAUGAAUGAUGCAUGGAUGAAUAAGUGAGCAUUAAAGAUUGUCUUAAAUAAUCAUAAAACUGAAUGGCGAAGGGUUCACUGACUAGCAAGAUUAUCAAAAGUGUGUGUAUCAAAUUUUUAAAUCAAAAUUUAAAAUCUAACCCUAGUAAAUACAAAUUACUAUACUCUCUCCACUAAAUGUAUUUUUUAUUAAAAAAGAAAAAGCUAAAUAUACACCUACAUAUCAUAAAGCUGGAUGACACAGAACUUUUAUAUGUCUAAUAUGAAACAAUGUAAAUGAUUCUAUAAGGCAUCUCCUUAAGUCCCUACCAUGUGUCCUACCUCACCUUCUCCUCCUUCUCCUCUCCCCACUCUCCAAUUUCAUCUGUUUUCCAUUUAGUCACCGG
ensembl:lncRNA